AUUUCAGGUCAGGCCUGCCCAAUGAGAAGUUAAAUGGCCGCGGUAUAUUGACCGUGCAAAGGUAGCAUAAUCAUUAGUUUUUUAAUUGAAAGCUAGUAUGAAAGGUUACAUGAGGAGAUAUCUGUCUCUGGAAAAAUUUAUUAGAAUUUUAUUUUUAAGUUAAAAAGCUUAAAUUUUCAUAGAAGACGAGAAGACCCUAUAGAGUUUUAUAUUUAUAUUUAUGCUAAGAUUUUAGGGAUUAAUGUCUAGGCUUGAUUAUAUUUAUUUUGUUGGGGUGAUAAAAAAAUUAAAAUAACUUUUUUUUUAUUUAAAUAUUUAUUUGUAAAUUUAUGAUCCUAAAGUGUAGAUUAAAAGAUUAAAUUACCUUAGGGAUAACAGCGUAAUUUUUUUAAAAGUUCUUAUUGAAAAAGAAGAUUGCGACCUCGAUGUUGGAUUAAAAUUGAUUAUUGGUGUAGAAGCUAAUAAAUUAGGUCUGUUCGACCUUUAAAAUUUUACAUGAUCUGAGUUUAAACCGGCGUGAG
rnacentral:rRNA from 1 species